CUAAAUCUUGCCCAAGGGUAAACUAAAUCGAUAAUAUUUAAUGAUUUCAACUUGCGCAAGUAAUCCAUAUUGUAAAUAAGUGAUUUGCAUAUUUAAUGAUUUCAACUUGCGGAAAUAAUCCAUAUUAGAAAGGUAAGUUAUUAAAAACAAAUUUUGUCAAUAAGUUAUUUGCAUAUUUAAUGAUUUCAAAUUGCGCAAGUAAUCCAUAUUAGAAAGUAGCCCUGCGACUUCAGUUUUCCGAAACCGAACCGAACCGUCGGUUUUUGGUUUACCGAAAUUUUAAAAACCAUUUCUGAAAGUAACCGAAUUAAAUUUCGGUUUGGUUCGGUUUUAGGUUAUUUUCGGUUUUCACCUAAAUUUCCGAAAAUAACCGAUUUUUAUGAUUUUUGGUUAAUUUCAGUAUAGGUUUUUAAAAACGUUCGGAUUUUCUGGUUAAAUUCGGUUAUUUUUGGUUCAGAUUUUCGGUUAUUUUUGGUUAUUUACAGUUACUUUCGGUUUUUCCCAAAAAUAAAAAAUCAAAAACGAACCGAACCAAAAACCGAAUUAUUUUUUAAAAUCGUACCGAACCAAACCUAUCUCGAAAACAUAACCGAACCAAAAACCAAAAAUGUUGGUUCGGUUCGGUUUGGCUGGUUUGGUUCGGGACAAAGUCGCAGGGCUAUUAGAAAGGUAAGUUAUUAAAAACAAACAACCUAAUUAGAAACAUUAAAAUAUUUUCUAAUCAAAUGUAAUUAAUAUGAUAUCAACAUGCGCAAGUUUACUGUUUGAAUAAUAAGGAAAGUUUUUAAUAUUUGUCUUAGUUCUAAAUCUUGCCCAAGGCUAAACUAAAUCGAUAGUUAUUAUCCUCUAGCUAUAUAUGGGUUUAACCGAAAUCGACAAUAGUUUUGGGCUUGUCUACAUAAACGAUUGAUUAAAAUAAAUGAAAAAUAAAAUUCAAAAAAAUCGACCAAUAGAAUUAUAACAAUUUUUCUGAGAAGCUCUAUAUUAAUGACAUGUCAGUAAAAUCACUAAAGUGAUUUCUCUUUUAGUGUAUAGGAGGAUGGGUAGUAAAUUACAAUUCCAUGUGUAUUAUUAGAACGUUUCAUAUCAAUUUGGAUCUAGUGAUAAUUAUAGUAUAUCAAUAGUAUUGUAAAGCUAAUAAAUUGAAAAAAAAAUUGCAUGUGUAAUCCGAUAAAUUAUAAAAGCCGUAGAGAUGUCACGUACAAUAUAUAUGGCUCGACAUUAUAAAUUUUGUAUUAUGUAUUUUAUGCAGAUGUGCCUAUUUACUCUAAUAGUAAUACAUGUUUCAUAAUAUAUUGGUCAUAUAAGGAAGUAGGGUGUAAAUAAUUAUGAUAAUUAAUAAAUUUCUAAUUAAAAAUUAAAUGACAAUGACAAUGGCAUUGCAUUGUAAUUUUUUUUAAAAUCAAGGGCAGAAUCCUACGAGAAUUCUGAUUUAAUAGUAUAGAUAGCUCAGGUUGCCUUGUGUUCUAGCUCAACCGGUAAGUGAGGAUUUUCCAAAGAGCAGGUGAAAUGGGGUGGUUCCUAAAGGAGUUUUGAAUGCAGUCCGGUAAUCCCAUAGUGCAUUGUCCAGUUUCCUUGACCAAUCUCUCCUAUAAGUUCUUACAGUCUUUUCUAAGAUUUCUUUGAUAUGCCGAUUUAAGACUUCUACUUGUCCGCUCAUCUGCGGAUGGUAGGGUGUAGCAACUUUAUGGUGCACUCUGUUCUUCCGGAGUAAUCCAUCAAAAAUUAUGUUGAUAAAAUGGGAUCCACCGUCAUUUAUGACUAUCCAGGGAAUUCCAAAUCGCGAAGAUAAUGCUUUUAAAAAGCUUGAUAACUACAGACGCGUCGUUCGUUGGGGAAGCUACUGCUUCGACCCAUUUUGAUACAUAAUCAACAGCGACUAAGAUAUAUUUAUUCCUGUACGAGCAAGGGAAAGGACCCAUGAAGUCUAUUCCCCAGCAAUCAAAGACUUCUACCUCUAGAAUAGAUUUAUGUUCCAUUUCGUGUCUUUUGCUGAUUUUUCCUCUUCGCUGACAUCUGUCGCAUUGUGCUAUGAAUGCAUGAGCAUCGCGAAACAUAGUUGGCCACCAGAAUCCUGCCUGAAGAAUUUUGAUACCGUUUUAAAGGUUUCAAAAUGUCCAGCAUAGUCGGAUCCAUGACAUUGGAAUAAAAUAUCAGAGAUUUCAGUUUUGGCGACGCAGCGUCUAUAUAUCUCGUCAGAGCAAUGUUUGUAGAGAUAUGGUUCAUCCCAUUGAUAUCUCCUAAUUUCUCUUAAAAGCUUCUUCCUUGUAUAACCUCUCAACUCUUGGGGUCUACGUCAGCAACCAGAUAGUUUACUAUAUCAGCGAACCAAGAUCUAUUCCUCAAACCUUUUUUGACUGCGUGCCCUUCCCGACUCAGACGUCCGUCUACAGGAGGAUCAUGGUCAGGAUGAAAUUUGUUACAUCCGACGCUGAUUUUUAUAUCAAAGGUGAUGGUUAUGGGGGAUACCUCUUGGUUUUGAUCAUCGGGAGUGUCGAUCGACAUAGCAUCGUCGUCGUCGAUCGAAGGUUCCUCAGAUGUGAGACAUAUUUUUCCGACAAAUGAAUCCGUUUGGUAAACAUUUUCCGUAGGUAAGAAAUCGUCGAUACGAACAUCAUCUUCUACUAUUCUUUUGUCUUGAAUCUCGAUGUCAAAUUCCUGGAGUAGUAGGAUCGCAAGAGUUGUGGUUUCACAUCUUUCUUCUGCAUUAAAUAUUUUGUUGCAGUGUGGUCGGUGCGGACAAUCACUCGCGAACCGACUAGGUAUUGGCGGAAUUUUUCAAAUGCAUAGACUACAACAAAUAGUUCUUUUUCCGUUGUUGCGUAAUUACAACAAGUAGUUCUUUUUCCGUUGUUGCGUAAUUUUUGUGUGCCUCGUCUAGUGUUCAACUGGCAUAGUAGACAGCAUGUAGCUUUUUGUAUUUCCUUUGGCCUAGAACUGCUCCUACAGCAAAAUCGCUCGCAUCGCACAUAAUCUCGAAAGGAAGAUUCUAGUAAGGUGCUUGUACGAUGGGGGCAGUUAUCAAGGCUUUCUUUAUUUCUUCAAAAGGCCGUAUGCAUUCUGGUGUGAAGUCAAAUUUAACUUCUUUACAGUGGAGGGCUGUUAGUGGUCUAGCGAUUUUGCUGAAAUCUUCUAUAAACCUCCUAUAAAAUCCUGCAUGGCCGAGAAAAACUUCUUUCGUCUUUCACGUUUGUGGGUGCAAGCAAACCGAUCAUUACCUCAAUUUUUGCUCGAUCAACAUCUCUACCAGCAGCGGAUACUUUAUGUCCUAGGACGAUUCCAUCAUUAACUAUGAAGUGGCAUUUUUUCCAAUUUAGAACAAGGUUAUUUUCUUAACAUCUUGCCAAAACUUUUUAUAGGUUAUCGAGUCAGCUUUUGAAACUUGACCCAUAUACUGAGAUAUCGUCCAUACAGACUUCCAUAAAAUCUUCUAUCAUAUCCGUAAAGAUUGACAUAAUGCAUCGUUGGAAAGUGGCAGGGGCAUUACAAAGACCAAAUGGUAUUCUGCGAUCUGCGAAUGUUCCGUAAGAGCAUGUAAAGGUAGUAUUUUCUUGAUCGUCAUGAUGUAUUAGGAUUUGAAAAAAUCCAGAGUAUCCAUCAAGAAAACAAUAGUAUUGGUGGUUUGCCAAUCUUUCCAACAUUUGAUCAAUGAAGGGUAAAGGAAAGUGAUCUUUUCUGGUGGCAGCGUUUAGCUUUCUACAAUCGAUACACAUUCGAUGUCCAGUGACAGCGCUUGGGAAUCAGUUCGUUUUUAUCAUUAUUCACCACCGUAAUCCCGCCUUUUUUUGGUACAACAUCCACGGGGCUUACCCAGUUGCUAUCCGAAAUUGGGUAGAUGACUCCAACAUCUAGAAGCUUGAUAAUUUCCUUCGUAACAACUUCUUUCAAGUUCGGGUUUAGCCUCCUUUGCUAUUCUACUAACGAUUUGGAAUCGUCUUCUAAGUGAAUUCGGUGCAUGCACAUAUCUGGCGAGAUACCAGGAAUAUCCUCGAGAUAGUAUUUGAGGGCUUUCCUAUACUUGCGUAGUUUGUUCAAUAACAACGCAAGCUCUCCGUUUGUUAGGUUGGCGUUUACGAUUACGUGGUAGAAGUUAUUGUAGAGAAAAGCGUAUUUGAGUCCGGUAGGUAGUUGCUUUAUCUCAAUUUUUGGUGCUUUCUUGGGAUUCCAGUUUUCUAGCGAGGACAAAUGUCGAUCGACGGCGGCCUUUAAAUAUCGAUCGGCGUUGAUUUUUGAAUCGUCAUCUUCCACGUCAUCGACAUUUGCCAAUUCCACACCUGCGUCCAUUGAUCGUGUGUAUUCAUCAGCCCUCCUGUCGAUACUAAAAAUUUUCUCUUUGGUAAAUGUGAGCAAUUUUUUUAGGGGAUCAUCUGAGCAUAGGUCUAUGAAGGAUUCCUCAGCCAACUCAGAGAUAUCGUCCACGUAAGAGGUUUGCUUAUCGAUUAAAGGACGUCUUAUCAAUUUUUCCAUAUCGAAGGUCAUUGGAAUGUUUCCAAUGUUUAAACAUAUUCGACAUCCCUUGACGUCGAUGAUCGCACCAGCAGUAGCUAGAAAUGGUCUACCUAAAAUGAGGGGAUCUUUUGGUUCAUUCUGGUAUUUCAACACAACGAAAUCCGUUGCUAUGUGACAGUCUUUUAUCCUUAUCGGCACGUCAUCUAGUACUCCCUCAGGUACUCUGACCGAUCUAUCAACAAGAACCAAAGUUAUUGUAGUUGGUUUGAACUCAUCGUGUCCCAAGGAUAUCGCGACAGAGUGCAGCAUUAGAUUUAUGCUGGAUCCUUGGUCACAAAGGGAUUGAGGAAAACUCUUGUUUCGUAUGUUGCAAAACAAAAAUGCCCGAAUCAGGUCUCUUGAUCGGAGUCUCGCCUUGGAUUAUUGCACUCACUUCCUCCGAAACCAUCAUGACGCUGUGUUCAGCAGCUUGGAAGCUGUUUGGAUACCAAGUCCCUUAUGUAUUUCUUUAUCGAAGGUGAUACUUUUAUGGCAUCACUUAGUGGCAUCCAGCAUAAUUUUUUCGAGUGCUUUCUUGCAGAUCGCUUUGUCCAAUUCUUGCUUAGUUUGCAUUUUGUUAGGAGGAAAGGGUGGCAAUGUCCUAUACACUCUCUCUACUGCUGGUUUGCAGGAGUCGAUUGUCGAUCGACAUUAUUUCCACUCUGUCAAUCGAUAUUUACCGCAGUCGGUCGAUCGACAUUGUUUUCUUCUCGUUGAUCGAUUUCCACAUCUUCUUUCAACUCUUCCUCUUCUUCAUCGAGGUUGAUAGUCGCUUUCUCAGCUUCCUCAGCAUUGGACCGUCCUUUCUCUUGAGGAGUUUCUGAUUCUGAGUUGGGAUUAUCAAGAAUUAUUGGUUGUGAUCUACUUUCACCGGUUUUCUCAACUUCAGCGGGUUUUUCUGCAUAGUUGAUUUUUAUUGUGCUCAGGGUGAGGUGCUUUCCGCUUCUUAGUAAUACAACAUUAACUUAACGUUUCGGAUUGCGUCAGUUCUCCCCGAGAGAUGUCUUGUUUCUCUUUUGAUGGCAGUCGUGUUUUCUGCUUCUUGACUGUCCAGUCUCUUAAUGUGUUCACUUAGAGCGUCAAACUUCCUUAUUACCUCACUGUAGAUAAUAUUUAUUUUUUCCAUUCAUGUCAGUGGCCAAUUUGCAAUUUCCUGUGAAGGCUUGAUUUAACCUGAAUUUUGCUCUGCCUCGGCGUGAUCCAACAGUAACAUUAUAAUUCCGGGUAAAACUGUCGGUGUCAGGAUUAGGACACCGAUCUGUCGAGGUUGGGAUGUCUAUGAUGUCCACUCAUUGUCUAGAUCGGAAAGGGCAUUGUCGUCAAUUUGGUAAACCCCUAAUUGAUUUUGCUCGUCUAGAACAUAAUGAAGUGAGUCCAGAGAUUCUUUAAUUCCAGCGAGAUGUGGCCCAUCUAUGGUAUCGACUCUUCUUCUUCGUUAUAUGUCCAUAAUUUAGUAGGAUCUACACGUCGCUAUUUUGCUUCUUCAGGGUUUCUGGUACUGAAGCUCCCUUCACUGGCCGUGUCAAGCGUGAUUUGGUAAUGCAGGUUAACACCCCCAUAAAAAAUGUUAAUAAGUUGUGGUUCUGAAUAACCAUGGUGGGGACAUUCAAGUUGAUAACUCUUGAAUCUUUCCCAGGCAUUUCUGAAUGAUUUCCGUGGAUCUUUCCGAAAUGUGAAAAUUUUCUUCCUUACAUCCCAGUAACGCGUCUCAUCGAAGAAGUGAUUUAUGAAAAUACUCAUAAUUUCUUUCCAGCAAGUAAGAGAUCCUGCUGGUAGUUGGUCCAGCCAUUUUCUGGCAUCACCCUCUUAAGGAAAACAAAAAGAGUUUACAAUGAUUGUGCUCGUCAUUCAUCAUGUCUUCCAGGUGUUCGAUGUGAUCGUGCGGGUGUUCUGAGAUGGUUCCACGGAAAGGGUUCUGACGUACCAAAAUUAGGUGUUCCAGGCUAAGCUCGAAUCUCUUGGUAUCGUCCUUUGGUAGCUUAAUGGCUGACCUAUUGGAAUGGAUUCUAACGGGAUUUCAAUAGUCUUACAAAGGCAAUUUUGUUUCUUCACCUCUUUUUGAGAUUGAAUUAAUUUGAACAGGGAUUGCAGUCCCCUGUUCAUUUAUGAUUUGGUUAAUUGCAUUGCUUAGUUGACCUUUAGGCUCACCUAUGACUACUUCCUCAUUAGCAUGAUUGGUAAGAGAAAACUUACCUGCUUCCGGUGGGGUGUCAUCGAUCGAUGUUUUGUGUGAAGCGUCGAUCGAUGUUUCCGUCGUCUCGUCGCUCGAUGUUUUUUUCAUUUCGUCGAUCGAUCCCCGUCCGAAAUCCAUGUCAUCCAUCUUAAGUACAUGUGUCAGCAGGGAAAGAGAGAAAACUUUAGCAAAUUCAGUAACAAAAUCUUGACUAAAUUCUAAACUUAAUCUAAUGGUAAUAAGAAAGAGUCCCCAUCAACGGCGCCAAAUUUGAUAUCACUCAAAUUACCCUAAGGAGUGAAUUACUCUCUCAAAUAACAGGUUCAUAUGUAGUACUUAGGGAUCAAAUCCACAGAGACUCUAGGAUUACACAAUAUAUUUAUAGUCUUUGAGGUAAAGCUAGAUUAAUAGGUUUAAAAGCAGUAAAUGAAUUGGUGAGCAAAGUAAUUGCUCGAUUGGUUUGAUUUGAGGUUGUUAACAGUUGGAAAAAUAGCUUAAUUCAUGUAUAUUCUCAGGUAUGAUAAGUUAAUAACUUAAUUUGGGGUUUUAGGGGUUUAUUGAUAUUAAUUGUUCUUGAAUUCAAACUCAGAUAUAAUCAAUUGGAUUAUCUAAUCUGAAUAUCGGAUUUCAACUCUCGUAUGUUAAUCGUGAGAAAGUUCCGAUCGAUGGUUCGUAAAGAAUAUUGAUCGAUUAUUCGUAAAGAAUAUCGAUCGACAGAACUAUUGUUGUGUCAAUUGACAUUUCUUCCAGAAAGCUUUAAAGACAUGUUUGAUUAGUAUUCUCUAACUUACUAGACCAACUUCCGUGUGUAUCUAGUUAGUAAGAUCAUGCUAGUUAUUUUCAGGUAUUGAGUCAAGCGAUGGUUUGUUCUCAAUUAAUCCUAAGAUCUAAGUUUAAAGAGUGAUCUAUCAUAAACUUAGCUUUAAGAACAACUAAAUGAAGAACUAUAUUUUUAAACACCCUAGCAACAUUUUAAGUCAGUAAUAGAAUUAUCAACCUAUUGAGAAACCUAAAUCUAACAGUAAGACUACUCACACAUAUUCAUAAAGCACAUGUUAUGAUAGUAUGAAUAAUACUUAAAUAAAUGAAUAAUAAAUAGUGAGCAAUGUAGUAAAUGAAAGCAAGGGAGUUCAAGAUUUCUCUGUUUUGUAGGUCAGAUCUAUCUCUCCAAUCCUAAGCUCUAUCUCUCUUCAACGGUGAUUUUUUGCCUCUCUCCAAAAUAGGUCUACAAGGUCUCUAGGUAAGUCUGCCUCUAAAAUAAUACAAAACCCUAAUAAUAUAGCCUAACAGACGGUCAAGGACUUAAAAUGUAAUUAUUGGAACUUUUGUGAAACUUUCAAUCUUCUAAUUUUAUCAUUAACUCGCGGGUGGCUUUGCCGUCUAUCGAUGAUGCAAGUCUUUCAUCGAUCGAUUGUGCUUGAUAAUCAUCUGUUGAUAUUCUGAAAAAUAAUCGACUCUCUCGGUUUCCAGCAAAGCUCUCAAAAAGUCUCCAAAUUCCUCAAAAUACAUCAUUUUUCUCAAGUAAGUACCUGAACAUGUAAUUACUCUAAAUAGACUCUAUAUCGUAGUAAAUAUGCCUCAAAACACCUAUAUACCAUGGCUAAUAAUGGGUUAAAUCCAUGGUCUAUCACUUACGAUGAGCUCUUUGACUUCUCAGACAGAAGGAUUACAGAGGGAGAUAGUGUAGAUUCAGAGAUACAUCGCCCAUCGACCAUAGGCAUCAACAUCGAUAGACAGAUGCAACAACAUAUCGAUCGACAGUCACAUAAGCACACGAUCGACGAAGCUACAAACCGAGGAAGGCUAGUACCAAAGGUGAAAUCAGAUAUGUAUGAUACACACAACCAUGGAGAAGAGAUCUCAACUGACACAUGCACCACACUUAUGAGACAUCAGUUCAACCUUGAGAGUCUUGGAGACAGAUUACAGAAGAUAGAGAAUACAAUUGCUACAAUGAAGGACAAAUGGAGCAGAAGAGAGGAAGCAAUGCGAGACUUAACUGGUACAUGGUUCAAUAAUCGCAAAGAAGAGAUGGAAAUCUGUUUCCCAGCAAGUUCCAGCUUUCCACAUUACUAGCCAAAUCACCUCCAAAGUCAAGCUAAAUGACUAUAACAAAGCGCUGAGUGGAAGGCAACCCACUAUUAGAUAAUAUUUAAUUGGUUUUUAUUAAUUUGGUAUUUAUGUUGGUUUUAAAUUAUUGCAGGUCAUAAAAAGAAAAAAAAAAAAUCCGAGUAGACGAAUGUCGUGACUGUGAGUAUCGACCGAUGAAACACUGCUGACAUUGAUCAACAGAACAUUACUUGCCGCGACCGAUGACAACAAUUUCACAUCGAUCGACAUUAAUUCCGAUCUGGUAUAUCGUUCUUACUUGUUACAUUGAGUCCUUAUGCUUUCUUUAUCGCCAUAACUCCGACUCAAUUUACACUGGAGACAGUGAAGAUUAAGUCUGGGGGUAGAUUUACUGAUAUUAGUUUAUUCAUGAGUCUUAUUUAAAAUAUUUUCAAAAAAAAAUUAUUGAGUCCAAUAGGGGACGAUGAACUUAUUGAUUUUACUUGUUAUCUAACCACACCAUUCUAGACAUACUAGUGGCUGAUAGCACUAAAGAUACCAAAGUGAAUUAACCUGUCAACUAUGUUACACUUGCUGAGAGUGUUUGAAGGAACCAAAGCUGGCCUACAACCUAAUUGAGCUCAAAUCUGCUUGUCUUGGGGCGUGGUAUACAUGGGAUCGGAUUCUUCAAACAAGUCUGGAAAGUAAAGCCUUGUGUAGAUUUAUCACACUCUCUCUCUCUAUUUUUGAAAUAUGUUGAUAUAAUUAUAUAUAUAUAUAUAAUAUUAUAGAUAAAUUAGGAAGAAAUUCGAAUAGGACUUGGUGGCUACAACCAUUAAGGCUUGAUUCACAAAUAAUCCUAGGAUAUAGGUCAAAAAGAAGUGAACAUGAUUUGGUUGGUACAACCAUUAAAGAUUGAUUCAUGGAAGCAUGUCCAAUCUUGGUCAAUGAUCUUGCAAUAUAAGCAGACUUUGACUGAGAGAGAAAAUUAGUGGAGAGAGAUGAUAUGAACUAUUUUUUUACCUGCAGGUCCAGAUACUUGGCUGACCAUCCUUGCAUCCUGUGAUUGAUACCCCCAAGGAAAAAGAUGAUGAACCGCCGCGACAUUGUAGCGACGCCGAGCGAUACUACUGUAGCAGCACCAAUCGAAAUUGUUCAUUGAAAAAAGAUCCGAGAAAGACAAACAUACACUCAGCAUCAACCGACACCUGAUCAAUGUCAAUCGACGAACCAUCAUGAGAAUCAAUCGUUCGCCACUUAACUGUGUCGAUCGCCACUCACAUCCAGCGAGCAUAUAUACCGAUUUUCCUUAUUAAAAUUUUCCUUAUGAAUUUUAUGUUCUUCACCAAUCUCAGACUGUAUAAUAUUGAACACAAUUUUUGUUUAAGUCUAGAGGAGGUAUUACUGAUAUUGUGUUUUGUUUUAGGUUUUAUUUUAUGAGUUUUUUUAAAGUUUUGUAUAGUCAAGAAGGGGAUGAAAUUUUUUUCAAUUUUACUUAUUAUCGAACCACUCUCCAACACCAUUCUUUGAGGUUAUUGGUUGCAAGGUGUACAAAAUAGAAACGCCAAAGUGGAUCACCUGCCAAUAACAUCCACUCUAGUUGAGAAAGUCCGAAGGAACCAAAACUAAUUUCCAACCUUAAUCAAUUCAAGUUGCUUGUUUUGAGGCUUGGUAUACAUUGAAUCAGAUUCCUCUUUUAGGUCUAAAAGGGAAAAGUCUACAUGUUUUUGGUUUCCUUCUCUCCUCUAGACUGUCCUAUGAUUCUAGGUUAUAUACUAUUAAUCCUAGUAUUACAAGCCAUCCUGGUGUAUAAAUUAGUGAACCCUAGCAAUUUUUCAGGUUGACAUUAAGCUCAUGAAAUCACUAAAUCUAACAAGUAUUUUACUCAGACAUGAUCAUGGACAACAUAAUUAAAGACGAAAUAUACUACAUAUAUAUAUAUAUAUAUAAAAUAAGAAAUACUGAAAUUCUAAUAAAACUCUCGAAGGAGUUCUUCUCUUCUCUCCAAUCCUCAAUCAAAGCUUAAAAGAACCGUCAACCGUCGAUAAUGGCUUAAAAUAAUAAUAUGGUAUUUUAAACAUGUUCUCCGCUCUUUUGUUAAUAAGGGAAACUUCUGAAACACUUUAAAAUUCUUGGAAGUUGAUAAAAAUUCUCGGGAGCAGAUCAGGAUGGGUGUCGCUCGACACCAUGCUACAAGCUUGACAGCUUCCUCUUGAGCGUCAUACUGAACGCUCUUCACUAAAACAACAUAAAUUUUGAUCAAGCCGUCUGAUCGACCUAAAAUCGGCGGCGUUGUAAAGCUAACUCAAUCCUCUAUUUUGUGUACAAAUUUGAGCUAAAUAAAUUGGUGGGACUUCCUCCGUACAUUGAUAAAACACAUCUGCACAGUUUUCGAAUUUGGGGUGGGGGCUGUAAGUGACCCUAUAAAACACAAGCCAAACAUCACAUGUCCAAUCAUAGAGCACACUCCUCUGCAUCUGAAGACAAGAUAUCUCUCCGCGGCUGUCCCUGAAAAAGGAGAUGUUGGAGAAAGUAAGAAGAUGAUCCUCCUCUGUAACAGUUUUUCCACCCUUUAGUAUAUCACUAAUGACUUUACAGCUGUGGCAUUAAUCAUUAGUAUAAGGUUGAAAAACGAUUUUAUAGCAUUAUAAUAAGUUUAUAUACUCCCUCCGUUUUUUAAUAUAAGUCGUUUUAGAGAAAAAAAUUUGUUCCAAAUUAUAUGUCGUUUUCGGUUUUCUAUGUAAAAUUUAUUAAUAAUUAAUAUUAUAUAACCAAUGGUAAUAUAUCUUCUAUUUUUCUAUUGAUUGAAUUGUGGUUAGGUAAAUAAUUAAUGAUGUUUUUGUUUAGAAAAUAUAAAAAAUUAAUGGUUUUCUUAAUCUACGUGCAUAGCUGUAAAACGACUUAUAUUAAAAAACGGAGGGAGUAUUACAAUGUAAAGGCUUUGUGACAUCUAUUCCAAAAAAUCAUUUUGUCACAAGUGUGGGAACCAAAAUUCGCACUGUCGAUUUCCGAGAUGUGGGCUUCGCGGGGGCGCUGAAGAUGUCAAAUAUAAACAUAGAGGCAUGGUUUAGGGAUCUCGUAUCUUUUGAUAUCAUGCCUUGAGAUGUUAGAGACCAGUGCGCUGGGUUUAGGGCAAGACCUAGGUUUACUUUCGGUUUAAUGUUUGUGUGGUGACUAGCCGGCUAUCGUUUUUCCUGUUGCGAUUUCUUCCUGAUUCGUACCGAUUUAAAGUCCGCUAUAGGUUCUCGACUUAUACGACUUGUCUGAUACGAAUCGAGCAUCUCUCCGGAGACAAUUUUUAAGCCAACCGGAAGUGCUGGACCAAAAUUUUGGAUUUCUUUUAUAGUGCUAUUAUCCUUGUGUCGGAUGUACGAGAGUCAUCUUUGCGAGAUGACUAUGCCUGUUUAGGACGAUCGCGAGUUCGAUGUGAUCAGCAUCGGACUUGGCGACGAAUGUCGCCGUUUUGAGUUUUUGCGCAAAAUAUGUUGUUAAAGGUUCUGUUUUUCGUUGUUCGGAAGAAAUAACUCUUUGGGGCAUCUCUUGCGACGUCUCGCGAUGCUAAACGUUGCUUUUUCCUAAUGGUCGAGUGCUCUGCGAGUAAGUAGUUUGCUUGGUUAAGAUGAGUCGGAAACAUCGGGGUGUGGUCGGAUGUUUUCGAAUUUGGGAGUAUACGAGUAUAUGUAUCCACUCCCCCCCCUUUUUAACGAGGGGGGACAGCUGAAUUUGUCUUUUGACAAACUGCCUACGUAGUCCUUAUGGAGAUCAAGCCGUCUCGUAGUUCGGUGAUUGCGAGUUGGUUUGUUUAGUGAUAGUACUUUUUGAGAUGCAUCGCGUUCCAGGUUCUAGGAAUUUUUACGCCUUGCAUGUUGGUUAUAUCGUAGGAGCCUGGUCGGACGACUUUUUCGAUUUUAUAGGGACCUUCCCAGUUUGCUCCAAGUUUUUCUGCGUUUCGUUCAGCGGUGUUUUGGAAGACUUUGCGAAGGACCAGAUCUCCUUGAUUAAACCUACGAUUCCGUAUGUUGGAAUUAUAAUAUUUUGCAGCGGCGUGCUGGUAAUUUUAGAUUCGGAUGAGCGCUCGAUCUUGGUGCUCGUUAAUGAGAUCGAGAUCAUCCAGGAGCAUGGUAUCGUUGAAUUCCUCCCGUUCGGGUAGUAACCUUCUUCGAACGCCAGGGAACUCUACUUCUGCGGGAAUAAUGCAUUCCGUGUCGUAUACUAGAGCAAAGGGAGUUUCUCCCGUUGCUCGCCUUGGGGUGGUACGGUGAGACCAGAGGACUCCCUCGAGUUCGUCGGCCACCUGCCCUUUUUGGCCUCUAAGCUUUUCUUCAGUCCAUCGAGAAUGGUUUUGUUGAUUGUUUCAGCUUGUCCGUUGCAUUGCGGAUAUCUGGGAGUUGACUUGUUGAAUCGUAUCUUCCAUUUUUUUGCAGAAUGCUUCGAACCGGGUGGAGAUAAACUGAGACCCGUUAUCGGUUACGAUCUCGUAAGGAACUUCAUGCCUACAGAUGAUAUUUUUCCAUACGAAAUUUUCAACUUGGACAUCUUUUAUACUUGCGUAUGAGUCCGCAUCUACCCAUUUUGAGAAAAAAUCGGUGAGGACUAGAAGGAAACGCUUUUGCUUUGAAUUAUGAAGAGGUCCGACAAUAUCCAUGGCCCAGCGCAUAAAGGGUUAGGGCGAUGUGAUGGAGGAAAGGACUUCGGCCGGUUCUCGGAUGGUUGGCGCAUGCCUUUGGCAUUUUUCGCGUUUCCGUGCAAAUUUUUCGCAAUCUUCGAUCAUUGUUGGCCAGUAGUAUCCAUGGCGUUUGAUUUUCACGGCUAGCGAUCUUCCACCGGAAUGGUUGCCGCAGGAACCGGAAUGUACUUCCUCCAUUACUUUUCUUGCUUUUUCCCCUUCCGGACACGUUAUAAGUGGUCCAGAGAAUCUCCAUUUGUAAAUUUCACCGUCCACUGUUACGUAGCGUGCGGCCUGUGUUUGGACUUUACGGGCUGCCCAUUUUUCGGUGGGCAGUUGCCCGUCGAGAAUGUAGUCUCGAAUCGUCUGAAGCCAUGGGGUAUCGCAGCCGUAAUCUGAUUGCUCUGAUUGUGGUUGAAUCGUAAUUUCUUCUUCCUCGUCAUCUUGACCUUCGAUGAGAUUGACGACAAUUGGUGGUCCGAUGCUCGGACGUUCGAUGAACUCGACUGGUAUUACCCUUUUAAAUCCUGGGUCAAAACUUGAUGCUAAGGCCGCGAGGGCCUCUGCCUGAACGUUCUCGGAACGGGGAAUUCGCGUAAGGGCAAAACUGUCAAAAUCUUGACCUAGACUUUGGACCAGUUUGAGGUACGCGUCCAUCCGUUCGUCUCUGGCUUCAUACUCUUCGCUGAAUUGACUGGACACUAACUGGGAGUCGCAGUAAGCGUGUAGAUUACGUAUUUUUAAGCCGUGAGCCAAACGUAGCCCUGUGAUGAGUGCUUCGUAUUCGGCCUCGUUGUUUGAAGCGUGGAUUUCCAGCCUGAACGAUUGUUCCAAGAUCUCGCUUGUUGGAGAUGUGAGACGGAUUCCGAUGCCCGAUCCUUGCUUCGAUGAGGAUCCGUCAACGUGGAGGAGCCAGGUGGAAUUUGGUUCCUCGUUGGUUAUGGUCCCUGUUGGAAGUUCAACCAAGAAGUCUGCGAGCACUUGUGAUUUUGCGCUCGUCCUUGGUCGGUGUUCGAUGUCGUACUCGCUCAAUUCGACCGCCCACUUGGCUAGUCGGCCUGACUGACUUGGGCUAUGCAGAAUUGUCCGUAGGGGAAAGGUCGUGAGGAUGACGUUCGUAUGGGAUUUGAAAUAUGGUCUUUGUUUUCAGGCCGAUGUUACGACCGCGCAUGCCAAUUUUUCCAUUAAUGGGUACCUAGACUCGGCAUCCAGCAAGGUUUUGCUUAUGUAGAAAAUAGGUUUCUGCUCCCCGCGUUCUUCCCUGAUCAGGACUCCACUUACGGCCGUUGCCGACACAGCGAUGUA